UGGUAAAAUUUGUCAAUUUAUGGAGCAACAUAAAACAUAGUUGCUUCACAAUCCAAAAUAAUGACCAGAGAAAAAGAUUUGAUGCUAUGGUCACAUGGUUGAAGGAGUGAUGCUCAAAUUUGUAGAAGAGGCAUUAUUUGAGCAUUUUGAGAUGAUGGCAAAGUUUCAACGCAUUUGAACACUCCUAGCUAGCACUUGCUUCACAAAGCUUCCUUUGGAUCAGAAACU
rnacentral:lncRNA from 1 species